AGAGUUUGAUCCUGGCUCAGGAUGAACGCUAGCUACAGGCUUAACACAUGCAAGUCGAGGGGAAACGACAUCGAAAGCUUGCUUUUGAUGGGCGUCGACCGGCGCACGGGUGAGUAACGCGUAUCCAACCUGCCCAUCACUUGGGGAUAACCUUGCGAAAGUAAGACUAAUACCCAAUGACGUCUCUAGAAGACAUCUGAAAGAGAUUAAAGAUUUAUCGGUGAUGGAUGGGGAUGCGUCUGAUUAGCUUGGUUGGCGGGGUAAGGCCACCAAGGCGACGAUCAGUAGGGUUCUGAGAGGAGUCCCCCANAUUGGAACUGAGACACGGUCCAAACUCCUACGGGAGGCA
rnacentral:rRNA from 1 species